rnacentral:tRNA from 1 species
GCUCAGUUGGUAAAGCACAAAGGCUCUUAACCUUGUGGACGUGGGUUAAAGCCCCAU